GCCCCUGGUAGCAGCGGCGGUCCAGGCAGAACUAAGGGGCGAGGGGCAGCCAGUCAGCCACUGCUCCGGGCCUUCCGACUUCCGACGAGUCGGGGACUCAGUCUUCUACUCUUCUUCUUCGGUCUAAGUCUUCCGUACCUAUGUGGCUCUGUCUGCAACAGGUUUUGUUUUUGUGGAAUACUUCUCAAGAAAGAUGACUGGCCUUUUGAAUGGUACUAUUAAAUUUUAGAAUACUUCUUCUCUUCUAAAAUUGGAAUUCUCAAUUUUAAUUCUUGUUUUCUAUAUCAAAAAUGAGAGUCCCUUGUUUGUGAUUAAAGUAAAGUAAAAAUAAAAUAACAUUUAUUAACAUGAUGGUUUUUAUAAAAUGGAC
rnacentral:lncRNA from 1 species